UUUAAAUGAAUUAAAAUUCCCGGUUAGAAUAUUCUCAGAAAAACAAACAAAUCAAGAUCAUUCGAGAAAAGUUGUCUUAGACUUGAAGCUGUUAGAAAUUUCCAUUUUAUUCAUGAAUAAAAAUUGUCUCCAGAUUGGAAGUCACUCGAACAGCAGCAAAGAAUAGUCUUCGCUUCAUGGAAAGAAGACAACUCCGAAGAAAAUACGUUUCCAGUAGGAAGACCUCAUAUCCAAAACAGGUUCUCUUCUCCUAACUAGAAGAUCUUUAACAGUGUGUAGACGAGAAUACUUCUGAUGAUGUGAAGAACGACAUUUGAUGGCGUUACUAGAUGAAACGUUAGACACUAACUAUUUGCUUCAAUAGUAUUUGAAUUUACAGAAGGCAUAAAGCUGAUGUAUCCGUCCCGGAGAUCGAACCUGGAAUUCCAGUGUUAUAUGCACUUAAGUUUACCGCUGAGCCACCAGAGGAUAGUUUUUUUUGAACUCGUCUAAACAUCAUUGGUUUCCUAAGCAAUUUGUUUGUUUGUUCUAGUCCAGAAAUUACGUCAGGCUUCUAUAGAACGUUAUCGGAUUAUUUAAUCAUUGGUUUUCUGAAUCUUAAACCACACUCAAAUAUUCUAAACACACACUUUUUAUAGAAAUAUUUGAUCUUCAUGAACGCCAGCUUCUAAAACUAUAAGCUACUAUCUCUAUUCAGUCGUGAAAAAGUAUAAAACUAAGCUAAAAUUACUUAAUAAAACAAUCCAAUGGGGAGAUGAAUAAAACUCACCCUUUGAAGCUGACCAUAAAGUUCAAAUAUCUAUAUAAAGCGCGCGUGUUUAAAACAUUUUGGAACGUUUUAAGACUCAAAAAGCCAAUAGAGAUGGCAAAACUGAAACUAACUUCUGGUAUGUGAUGCUUAAGCUUGGAAAGCGAAGA